UUGAGCCAGGUCCAGGAGAGUCCCCAUCCCCCACCAGCUGAUUGUCUCCUGUUCCGCUUACAGACCACAGGUCUGUUUGCAGAGCCAGACAUAGGACUGAGGGUUCCUGGUGCUGCCGCCAGAGCCCACCCUGUCACUCGGGUGGGUCACAGCCACCAUUCAUGUGAGGGACCCAAGAGAAGACCAGAGAUAGGCUUGGUAAGGGACCAUUCCAAGUGGAUGCUGGAGACAGUCACCUGCCACCCUGCUGCUGGAAGAAGCCAGAUGCGCUCUCCUGAGAGCCCCAAGCUACAACCUUGGUCCAUCACAAGAGCAGAAAUAGAGCUAAGUGGGACCUUCAGCCUCAUCCACUACAGCCUCGGUGGAAACGACUCUCAUCCUCCUUGGGUCUGAGAACUUUGAACUGCUCAUCUAUAAUGGUGGCGAGUCCUCCCUGGUGGUGGGUGGCCUCUGGGAGAUGCCAGGGUCCCUUGGCACCCCAGGAAAGGAAAGCCUUGACCUGGUUGCCAGCUCGAGUGGGCAAAGCUCCACUGUAACUCAGGAGACUCCUCAGUGGCCUGCGAGAGUUACGUUCCCAGGUCCUAUGUUACAGGGGAAACUGAGGGAUCACACUGCUGCCUCCACCGGUCGCUAGGUGACCAGAGCCUCUAGGACCACCUUCUCUCAACUGCAAGCUGAGGUCUUGUAUCCUUACCUUCAGUAGCCUCUGGGCAACUCCCUGAGUGUGGCUCUCAGGAGGUGUCACAACAGGCACAAGAUAAGGGGCCUCUUGAGCUUGGUCUCUCUACACUUACUCUCUCAGAUGGCUUGUGUUGGUUUAUCACUGAGCAUAACCCAGGCUGAGUAGGGAUGAAAGCCACCCUCACCCAGCAAGUCUAUCAAAGGCCUUCAGGACUUUGUCCCCAAUAGGAGCCCCACCUUUCCUUUACAAUGAGUUUUGCUUCCUGACUUUAGAGCCGGGUCACAGUGGCACUAAAUGGGGGGGAGGGGAGGACACCAUCUCCAUUCUGUCUUGUUCCGUUCGCAGAGCCUUGCAGAAAUUCUCCCACCCAUUGACUAAGCAAACUGACAGAUCUCACUGCUGGACUGAGGAGAAGCAGAGGGUGCCUGGUCCCAGACUCUGUGCUAAGAGCUGGCAUGCUAUCUCCUGCCCACUCACCCAGGUCCUUCCACUACGGGACACUGUGACCACAGGUACAGCCAAGUCUUAGAUGAACACUGGUUACAGACAAUGGGGGAAGGAGGGGUGUUUAUCUCUGCAACCAUCCCGGACCUGAGUCACCCAACCUCUCCUUGGUUCCUGGGAAGCCGGAAAGUCACUCCCUCGCGCACGCCAGACCUUGACAGAAACCUACUCUAGCUGGCAAUGACCUCAAGGUCUCCGUUCUCCCCCUUCCAGACUUCCCACCUGGACUCCUUGUGGUCCGGCCUCCAGAAGCAAGCUCAAGGCAUACAGGAAGUCUACUUACUGGCCUC